rnacentral:rRNA from 2 species
ACGGAGGAUCCAAGCGUUAUCCGGAUUUAUUGGGUUUAAAGGGUGCGUAGGCGGUUUGAUAAGUUAGAGGUGAAAUACCGGUGCUUAACACCGGAACUGCCUCUAAUACUGUUGAACUAGAGAGUAGUUGCGGUAGGCGGAAUGUAUGGUGUAGCGGUGAAAUGCUUAGAGAUCAUACAGAACACCGAUUGCGAAGGCAGCUUACCAAACUAUAUCUGACGUUGAGGCACGAAAGCGUGGGGAGCAAACAG